ensembl:lincRNA
AUUCUUUCUCCCCAGGCAGCUGUGUCUGUGUUCUUGUCUCGCAGAAUUAGAGCCCAUUGGUUGGGAAAAAUGCCACCACCAUCAGACAUUGUCAAAGUGGCCAUUGAGUGUCCAGAUGCUAAUGCCCAGCUCCUUGAAAUCGACCAGAAAUGGCCCCUGGCAUCCAUUAUCAAGGAAGUUUGUGAUGGGUGGUCAUUGCCAAACCCAGAAUAUUACACCCUCCGUCAUGCAGAUGGUCCUCAGCUGUACAUCACUGAACAGACUCGCAGUGACGUUAAGAAUGGGACAAUCGGGCCAGGCGUGGUGGCUCACGCCUGUAAUCCUGCACUUUGGGAGGCUGAGGCGGGCGGAUCAUGAGGUCAGGAGAUCAAGACCAUCCUGGCUAACACGGUGAAACCCCGUCUCUACUAAAAAUACAAAAAAAAAAAAUUAGCUGGACAUUGUGGCGGGUGCCUGUAGUCCCAGCUACUCGGGAGGCUGAGGCAGGAGAAUGGCGUGAACCCGGGAGGUGGAGCUUGCGGUGAGCUGAGAUCGUGCCACUGCACUCCAGCCUGGGCGACAAAGCGAGACUCCGUCUCAAAGAAAAAAUUAAAAUUGGGCAAUCUUACAACUGGCUAUCUCCCCGGUAGGUAUUCUUCCUUCCUUAGGAGUUUAUUCAUGUCACAAAAAAAUAAGAGCACCUACCAUGGGCCAGGCUCUGUUCUAGAAACAAGGACCCUGGAGAUUAAAAAGUCAGUCCUUUUGUAUCAGGACAUAAUAUAGGAAGACAAGAGUGUCUUGGUUCUCACCACCUAGUGGGGAGUAAACACAUGCAAUCGAAGGCCUCUCUCAAGGAUCUUGAGAGAAAGUUGCUUAGAGAGCUGUGGGAACUCACAAAGGGGACCACCUAACUCAGCCUGGAGAUUUCCAGAAAGCCUUGCCAGAGAAAGGGUCACUUAGCUCAGAUGUUAAAGGAUGAGCAACAAUUAGCUGGAGAAAUAAGAAAAGGAAAAGUAUUCCAGUCAGAGAAAUCAGCAUAUGCCAAGGCACAGAGGUUUGCUGUGUUUGGGAAAAGCGGAAGUGCUGGGUGGCUGGAGGCUUGUAGCAAUCAUUGAAAAGCCAGAUAUUCAAUGUUCCUUGAUGGCCUGCUCAUAGGUUUGAACUCUGUCCAGAAGGAAACUAGGGAUAUUGAAGGAUUUUAAGCAGGAAGAUAUGUUAUGUUUAGAUUUUAAGUUUUAGAAAGAUGACUUUAGUGACCGUGUGGAAGAUGGGCCUUAAGAAGUAGGUUGGUGGUAGUAGGAACAUUUUAAGAGGCAAAUGAGGAAUGUUAACAGCCCAGUGAAGGCAAAUGGUAAUGGAGAUGAAAGGAUAUGAAGAGUAUCUAGGAGGUAACCUUUAUGAGUAUGGUGAUAUGCUGGAUGUGGAAGGAAAGGGGAGAAUGGAGAAUGACCCUGGUUUUUGCAAGAGCAGCCCUUAAAGGUCACCAAGGAAGCAACCAGAAGGGUAGAAAGAACACCAAGAAUGUGAAGUGACUGAGGAGCUUUGGGCAGGGAGAGUGUCAGGAUUGAGGAAAAUAUGGUCUGCAAUUUUUAAUGAGCAGAGAAAUUUAGCAAACUGAGAACAGAAAAGCUGUCUUAUGACUUGGGAGGUGAAGAGGACCUUGGUGAUCUUCACAAAAAAGUUAUGGUGGGGAGGCCAGGUGGCCAGACUGAAGGGAGUCAAGUAAAAGAAAGGUAAAAAAGUAAGGACUUUGAGUCUACUGCUGUAUCAAGAAGCUUGGUUUUAAAAGAAAACACAAAGAAGGUGAUAACGUGAAGGGGAUGUAGAGUCAAAAAGAUGCGCUUUUUAAAAGCCCAUAAAGCAUUCAUGUGUUUCACAAAUCAAAAAUUUUCACAGAGAUAUAGCAAAAGGUCUCCCUGCAACUCCUGUCCCCAUCUGCCCAGUUCCCCACCUUUCUGACCCUUCCUGGUUGUUUCUGUUGCAAUUUUUUAUGUGCCCUUAAGAAUGUGUUAAGAUGGAAGAGAGGAAGGUUGAAGGUGCAGGAAAGCAGGUAAUCAAUAGAACAGGAUCUUAGUGGACCAGGAGAGGAAGGACUCAAAGCCCAGGUAGAGAGAAUCACCUUGACUGCUAAGCCCCUGAGGAAGACAGCCAAUAUGAUUGCACCUUUGGUUACAUUCGUAGAAGCACAGCUAGCAAAAUAAGGGCGUGAUGGCACCUCUUUUCUUGGUGCAGAGAGAGAGACUGGUUCAUCUGAGAGGAGGGGAGGUAUGAAGUGAUAUCAGCCAACCUUUACUGAAUGCCUGUAUUUUGCUAAAUACUUUGUGUAAUUAAAUCAUCUGAUCUUUACAAACAUCCCAUGAGAUAGGUACUCUUGAUAGCCCCAUUCUGUAGACAAGGAAACCAAGGCUUAGAGAGGUUAAAUUACUUGCCACUUGUCACACAGCUAAUAAAGUAGCCAAGCCUGCUCUCAGACCCAGGUCUGUCUGACUCUAGGCCCAUAUUCCUCCCAUCAUGUUCUUCUGCCUCCCCCUCUUCUCCUGAACUCUUCUCAUCUUAAGGACUUCAUUCUUCCCUCCUAAGCUCUGGUUAAUUUAAUAUGACAGCCUGGGAGUUACACACUUCUAAGGAAGUGCCGACACAUUUCAGACCUCUUGCACAGUGCAGUUGCCUUUCCCAGAAGCACAUCUCUCUGGAGCGGGAGGCAGCAGCCCAGAAAUGCUGUAUCAGGAGGAAAAUUGACAGAGUUGGAAGUUUCUAAGUGGGAUGCAGACCAGUGCUCUUCAGAUUGUUCUAUGCUGUGACCUUUUCCUGUGGCGCACGUUUUGUCCACUGUAGACAGAAUGAGGGCUUCUCUAUCACAGAGAGCAUUGUGCUGUGAAGGGCCAGCUUUGUAAUAGUAAAAGAGGAGAGGCAAAGGGGAGAGGGACAACAGGCCUGACUCCGUGGUGGCAGCAGGAAUUGGGCUCCAGUCACUUGCUUAACACUGAGAAAAAGAAGACAGGAGUGUUUUUGCUCUUAAGGCUCUUCCUUUCUAGUGGAGAACAUUAAAUUAACACCCAAAAAACAGUAUGAUGAAACAGUAAAUUGUGAAGUACUAUGUACUAACAAGCUCAGCAGAAGGAAAGCCCAGUGAAUGCUAGAGGAGGGAUUUUAGCCACAGUUUGCAGAAAAGGAGGCAGGCAUCCUGCUAGGAAAAGUUCAUGUGCCAGGAGGAGGUUUUGUCUUCAUCAGCCUUCAUUUUCAAAAAAUGAUUGGGAAAUUGUUUCUGGCUCCUUGAUAUUCUUAAAAUUUCUCCAGAACUAUUACUUUGAGGAAUAAUCAUAUGGAUUUUGAGAGAAAGUUUUUAAAAAAUGACCAAGCUUUUCACAUUUUAGGAUUAAAAGGGACCUUAGAGAACAUUAGAUUAAAUUCUUCACUCAAUGCAAGAAUCCCUUCUACAGCAUCUUUGACAGAUAGUUGUCCAUAUUCUCCUUGAUUGCUUCUGGUGACAGGGAGCUUAAUACCUCAAGAGAAACCUCUUCUGCUGUCUAACAGUUUUAUAAAUUUUAUUUUAUUUUAUUUAUUUUUUUUGAGAUGGAGUCUUGCUCUGUCGCCCAGGCUGGAGUGCAGUGGCAUGAUCUCGGCUCACUGCAACCUCCGCCUCCUGGGUUCAAGCGAUUCUCCUGCCUUAGCCUCCUGAGUAGCUGGGAUUACAGGUGCAUGCCACCAUGCCUGGCUAAUUUUUGCAUUUUUAGUAGAGACGGGAUUUCACCAUGUUGGUCAGGUUGGUCUCGAACUCCCGACCUCGUGAUCUGCCUGCCUCGGCCUCCCAAAGUGCUGGGAUUAUGGGCGUGAGCCACUGCGCCUGGCCAGUUUUAUUUUAUUUAUUUUUUUUAUUUUUGAGAGAGUGUCUUGCUCUAUGACCCAGGCUGCAGCGCAGUGGCACAGUCCUAGCUUACUGCAACCUUGAACUCCUGGGCUCAAGCAAUCUUCCCACCUCAGCCUUCUGAGUAGCUAGGACUACAGGUGUGCACCACCACACCUGGCUCAUUUUUAAAAAUUUUUUGUGGAGACAGGUUGUCACUCUCUUGCCCAAGCUGGUGUCUAACUUCUGGUCUCAAGCAAUCCUCCUGCCUUGGCCUUUCAAAGCCUUGGGAUUAUAGGCAUGAGCCACUGCACCCAGCCAGACAGCUUUAAUUAAUAGAAACCUUCCUCUAUUAAACCAAUAUCUGUUUCUCUGUGACUCAUUAGUGGGCCUCCCAGAUGUCUCCGGUAUUCCCUUGGUAGGAAUUUUUUUAAUCCAUAGACCAGAGUGGUACAGAAAAGAUACAGAUAAAUACAGAUUGGUUUUGGCACACUAAUAACUCCCUGAUUGAUCCCACAAUUUAGCAACUCCUAAGCAGUGUUAAAAAAGCUAGUUCUGCCUCAGGUUUGGAUGUCCAUAGAAGAGCCUCUGUGAGCUAUCCACAGAGUAGUAACCUGCUCCAAGGAGCAGAUGGCACAUGUCUUGUCCCUGGUUUCCUAGUCCGAGGCCGCACGCCCAGCUGAUGGAGAGGACCCAGUCAUCCAACAUGGAGACCCGGCUGGAUACCAUGAAGGUGCUGGCCAAGCUCUCUGCUGACGUGACUUUUGCUACUGAGUUCAUCAACAUGGACGGCAUCAUCGUGCUGAUGAGGCUUGGGGAAAAUGGAACCAAACUCUUGUCCCAGUGAGUAUGACUAAGGUCUCAUUCCAGGGACUUCAGUGAUUUACUACAUCCCACAGGGCAUCCUAGUCUCAUUUCCAUCAAGUCACAUAAGGAGUUUAUUGAAUACCACCUAUGUACAGAGCAGUGUGCAAAGCACUAGAGUCCAUACCGAGAGAUAUAAUUCCAUGUUGUUCUUCUAAAUCUUGCAGUAUAGUUGGGCUCUCACAAAUUAAAUAAUAGUACAAAACAGUACUGUGCCAAGUGAGCAGUAAAAAUAGGGGCUAGAGAAGUCAGUAGGAGAGCGGUCAGGUCGUGACAGACCUGUUAAUUGCUGGAAAUGCUUGGUCUGAUGAGGGUUACUGAGCACAUGGUCCAAUAUGUCCCAGGUGUGUGUCCAUCUGUAACCACCCCCUGCUCCCUCUUUCUCAAGUCACCUUCCACCACACACACACACACACACACACACACACACACACACACACACACACUACUCUU